AGAGUUUGAUCCUGGCUCAGGAUGAACGCUAGCUACAGGCUUAACACAUGCAAGUCGAGGGGAAACGACAUCGAAAGCUUGCUUUUGAUGGGCGUCGACCGGCGCACGGGUGAGUAACGCGUAUCCAACCUGCCCACCACUUGGGGAUAACCUUGCGAAAGUAAGACUAAUACCCAAUGACGUCUCUAGAAGACAUCUGAAGGAGAUUAAAGAUUUAUCGGUGAUGGAUGGUGAUGCGUCUGAUUAGCUUGUUGGCGGGUAACGCCACAAGGCGACGAUCAGUAGGGGUUCUGAGAGGAAGGUCCCCCANAUUGGAACUGAGACACGGUCCAAACUCCUAGGGAGCA
rnacentral:rRNA from 1 species